rnacentral:rRNA from 1 species
AACUCCAAUAGCGUAUAUUAAAGUUGUUGCAGUUAAAAAGCUCGUAGUUGGAUUUGGGACGGGGGUCGCGCGGUCGGCCGCAAGGUCUGCUACUGUGCGGCCUCGUCAUUUACACUCUCGGAGACCCGUCGUGCACUUCGCUGUGCGCGGCGCGGGACUCGGGACGUUUACUUUGAAAAAAUUAGAGUGUUCAAAGCAGGCUUCAUCAAGCCCGGAUACAUGAGCAUGGAAUAAUGGAAUAGGACCGCGGUUCUAUUUUGUUGGUUUCUACGACCGCAGUAAUGAUUAAGAGGGACAAUUGGGGGCGUCCGUAUUUCGUUGUCAGAGGUGAAAUUCUUGGAUUUACGAAAGACGAACAACUGCGAAAGCAUUCGCCAGGAGUGUUUUCAUUAAUCAAGAA